rnacentral:rRNA from 1 species
GACGAACGCUGGCGGCGUGCUUAACACAUGCAAGACGAACGGAAAGGCCCUGCUUUUGUGGGGUGCUCGAGUGGCGAACGGGUGAGUAACACGUGAGUAACCUGCCCUUGACUUUGGGAUAACUUCAGGAAACUGGGGCUAAUACCGGAUAGGAGCUCCUGCUGCAUGGUGGGGGUUGGAAAGUUUCGGCGGUUGGGGAUGGACUCGCGGCUUAUCAGCUUGUUGGUGGGGUAGUGGCUUACCAAGGCUUUGACGGGUAGCCGGCCUGAGAGGGUGACCGGCCACAUUGGGACUGAGAUACGGCCCAGACUCCUACGGGAGGCAGCAGUGGGGAAUAUUGCACAAUGGGCGGAAGCCUGAUGCAGCAACGCCGCGUGCGGGAUGACGGCCUUCGGGUUGUAAACCGCUUUCGCCUGUGACGAAGCGUGAGUGGCGGUAAUGGGUAAAGAAGCACCGGCUAACUACGUG